UGGGGCGUAGCCAAGUGGUAAGGCAUCGGGUUUUGAUCCCGUGAUCGCAGGUUCGAUCCCUGCCGCCCCAACCA
rnacentral:tRNA from 2 species